rnacentral:lncRNA from 1 species
CAAGGUUCACAAAAGAGGAUGGGAUCUCAAUCCUCAUUCGGGUCGUACUCAAGAUCAUCCUGAUUCUCUUCUGACUCUUCUUCACUAAGCUCACAUCCUUCAAGCUCUUCAUCUUUUACCGGCUCAUCGUCCUCUUCUGGUUCCUUCUUCACAGGCUCAUCUACAGGCCUGAAAUGUUGUCCCAUAAUCGGGAUGAGACUACGUCUCAGCAAGUUCUACCCCACUAAGACUCGAUUAGGAAACCAAUACGCUAUCCGGGCU